rnacentral:rRNA from 1 species
UCGGGAAUUUUGGGCAAUGGGCGAAAGCCUGACCCAGCAACGCCGCGUGAGGGAUGAAGUAUUUCGGUAUGUAAACCUCGAAAGAAUGGGAAGAAUAAAUGACGGUACCAUUUAUAAGCUCCGGCUAACUACGUGCCAGCAGCCGCGGUAAUACGUAGGGAGCAAGCGUCGUUCGGAUUUACUGGGCGUAAAGGGCGCGUAGGCGGCGCGGUAAGUCACUUGUGAAAUCUCUGAGCUUAACUCAGAACGGCCAAGUGAUACUGCUGUGCUAGAGUGCGGAAGAGGCAACCGGAAUUCUUGGUGUAGCGGUCAAAUGCGUAGAUAUCAAGAGAAACACCUGAGGCGAAGGCGGGUUGCUGGGCCGACACUGACGCUGAUGCGCGAAAGCCAGGGGAGCAAACG